UUAGUGUGAUUGUUGCAGCUAUAGCUAAAACAGUUUAACACAAUACAACAGUUAAAUCGUUAAGAUAAUACCUGCAGUUCUACCCGCAAUACUUUUGGGUAUAAACAAGGUUGUUUUUUUGUCAUUCUUUCCACUCAAAUGAUGUGGCAGUUGGUAUAUGGAUAAGUAAUGGCUCCUACAACAAUGGAAAAACAUGCAUCACACUCAUUCUCCAGAGAUCUUGUGUGGUUUCUGACUCCAAUAACAUUGAUGCAGUUCAAAGUGUCACCUGCCACUGACCCAACUUCUCAAACGUUGACUGUUAUAGAAAAUGUUUUUGCCCUGCUCUUUUUCCCUCUUCUUGAAUGUACUGUUAAAGGGACACUCCACUGCCCAAGUAACAUUUUCUUUAAAUCACUAUUUUGUAGAUAUACCAAUAUAAAAACAUGUAUACAUUUAAUUGUGCAUUUUUUCAGUGGGAGGUAUAUCUAAAAAUGUUUUAAAACUGUAGAUCUCCCUUUCCUCCCCAGCUCAGUGGCUGUCCAAUCACAGACUCCCCAUAGCAGCUCAAUGAGAAGUCUUUGCAAGCAUUUCUGGGCAAUUGCUGCCUCUUGAGUUAAGUUCCACUGAGCUAACCAAACCAGGAAUAACAGGAAUGCUUGUAUGAUUGACAGCCAGGGGGGUGUAACCAGGUUCAUUUAUAAAAGUGUCAAUUUCUAUUGAAAUCUGCACUUUUUGUAAAAUGAAAAAGUGGACACACUCUUCACACGUAAAGCACUUCAGGAAGCUAAAGCGAUUUAGGUGUCUGGGAGAGUUCCUUUUACAUGUAUUAUUUCUCAAACCUAGUGGAAUCUCUUCUGUUGUGUGGACACACUGUAUUGCAUGUAGAAUCGAUUACUGAAGGAAGGAGACCACUGGGAAAAGAAGCAGUGAUUAAAUAAGAAAAAAUAACCUAAGCAUGAGGUCAUAGACAUGGGCAAUGUCCAAGGGAUGUGAUUGAUGUACCCAGACAUACCUGUAGCAGAGGAUGUAGAUAAAAGUAACUGGGUAUUUGUUACAAUUUAAACAAUAACUCCCACAACCCAUGGCCAACAUUCAAGCAAUAUGAUGUCUGAAAAAGGUUAGAGACCGGAACAGAUAGCAAGCAGAGGAAUUGUUAGUAGGAUGCGGGCUGAGAUUUAGGGGAAUUAUGCAAAACUGAAAAUGGUUUGACUAAUUAGGCCAUAAUAACAAGAAUGGGGGAAAAAGAUCUUCAAAUAAAUUUUUCCAAUUAAGAAACAUUUUCCUAUAACUGGCAAUACCUUUGCCAGCUCUCCCCAGUUCCCAUUUUAUUGAAGAACCCUAGCGAGUCACUUUUAUUAAAUCAUCAGCUGUGUUGAGUCCUGUUUCGUUUAUGAAACAUUUAUUGCAACAUUUCCAAGUUAUUAAAAAACAUCCAGAUAAGAUUAGUUGGAUUUUUUUAAAAAAAUCUGUUCACCUACAUUUAACAACUUUGUUGCCAACUGUACACAACUCAUAGGUUUUAGUGAAUAAGCACAAUUUUUUUAAUAUAAAUCCUACUAGUUCACUUGCUGGCAUAAGUGUUUAAACCAUUUUUAAUAAGGAAAAUGGAGAAUCCAACUGUAUUAAAGGGUCACUUGUGGGCAAAACGCUAAGCCUCAAAUUAUUUAAUAUAUAUUAUAUUUAAUUUAACUACCAUUUAAACAGGUAAUCUGCUGGUACAGUUGUAGUUAAUCUGCCUUAAAUCCGGAGAAAUCACACACUCCAAUUAAAAAUGGUAUCAUUCGAAUCACAACAAUAUUUCAUUAUUAUCAUGAUUAAUGCUGACUUUAGACACAAAUACUUUCUAAGUAAUUAGUCAUUACAUUUCUUGGCUGAAAUGCUUUGUCUGUUCAAACCUCGGUAAUGCAGGUUUGAUUCCCAGCAGCAUAAAGCAAAUAGGUUAGGUUAUAGCAACAUUUUUGUAUUGACUCUAAGUUCAGUCCAGUGAGUGUGUGCACUAGAAGUGCUUUGAACCCAACAAUUAAAACAAUUGCUGUAUAAAUUAUUGUAUUAUUAUUAUUAACUAGUAAAUUCUUAUGAUGCCAGUAUACUUAAUUUACGAAUGCUACACCUAAUGUUUCUGACAUUUUAUAUUUUUCUAAGGACCCUCGAAACGAGGGUUAUAUUGAGAAAUAUAAAUGAUAAGGGUGAUAUUUCCUAUGCAGAUGAUUUCAUUUUUUUAUUUUUGAAAAGCGCAAUAACCUCCCGAUCAGGACACAGAGAAGAAAUCAAUAUAUUUCUUCCAUAUUUGGGGACAAGCGGACAUUGUAUUUAUAAAGCAUGCAACUAUCCUGUCUCAGAUAUUAAUGAUGGCUGCUUUUAACUCAGCCUAUGUAUGUUAACGCUGAGAGUAACAAUUAGCAAUAUCCCAGGGCUGGAAAUAACAAAUCCAAUCACCGGUUUUCCAGCUGGCUUCCAUUCUACCACAUCUGAAUGCCUCGGUUGUCAGGAGGGAACUUUUGAUUCUCGCAGCAUGACAGAUACAGAUUGAAAUUUGUAUUAACCUCUUCCUUUUAAAUGACUUUAUUUGAAGGAAUGUUUUAUCACAUCUUACUUUACGUUGUUUUGUUGAUUGAAUGCCUGUUUCAUCUUAAAUACGAAGGUAAUCUAGCACUGAAUUAAAAAACUCACUUAGAAUCGCAUGAACUAUGUAAAUAAAAUUAACCCAAUGUAUUUAAACGUGUCUAGUUUGUUAAGAUUACAAUAGCUGCUUUGCAUUUCAGAUAUGUAUAUUUUGUACAAAAACAACAAUAAAACCAAUAUUGCUAUGCACAAGAAA